UACGUAGGUGGCGAGCGUUAUUCGGAAUUAUUGGGCGUAAAGAGCGCGCAGGUGGUUGAUUAAGUCUGAUGUGAAAGCCCACGGCUUAACCGUGGAGGGUCAUUGGAAACUGGUCGACUUGAGUGCAGAAGAGGGAAGUGGAAUUCCAUGUGUAGCGGUGAAAUGCGUAGAGAUAUGGAGGAACACCAGUGGCGAAGGCGGCUUCCUGGUCUGUAACUGACACUGAGGCGCGAAAGCGUGGGGAGCAAACAGGAUUAGAUA
rnacentral:rRNA from 1 species